UACGUAGGGCGCAAGCGUUGUCCGGAAUUAUUGGGCGUAAAGAGCUCGUAGGUGGUGUGUCGCGUCUGCCGUGAAAGCCCGGGGCUUAACUCCGGGUCUGCGGUGGAUACUGCCGGGCUAGAGGGUGGUAGAGGCGAGUGGAAUUCCCGGUGUAGCGGUGAAAUGCGCAGAUAUCGGGAGGAACACCAGUAGCGAAGGCGGCUCGCUGGGCCAUUCCUGACGCUGAGACGCGAAAGCUAGGGGAGCGAACAGG
rnacentral:rRNA from 1 species